UACGGAGGGUGCAAGCGUUAUCCGGAUUCACUGGGUUUAAAGGGUGCGUAGGUGGGUUGAUAAGUCAGUGGUGAAAUCCCCGAGCUUAACUUGGGAACUGCCAUUGAUACUAUUGAUCUUGAAUACCGUGGAGGUCAGCGGAAUAUGUCAUGUAGCGGUGAAAUGCUUAGAUAUGUCAUAGAACACCGAUUGCGGAGGCAGCUGGCUAGACCUGGAUUGACGCUGAGGCACGAAAGCGUGGGGAGCAAACAGG
rnacentral:rRNA from 1 species